rnacentral:tRNA from 1 species
GCCUUCGUGGUGUAAUGGUCAGCACACUGAGCCGGUAUUUCAGAGGUCCGCGGUUCGAUUCCUGGCGAAGGUG